rnacentral:rRNA from 1 species
CGCGGUAUUUUGACCGUGCGAAGGUAGCAUAAUCAGUAGUCUUUUAAUUGAAGGCUUGAAUGAAUGGUUGUAUGAAAGAUAAGCUGUCUUUCAAGUAUAUAUUAGAAUUUAACUUUUAAGUGAAAAGGCUUAAAUUAUUUAGGGGGACGAUAAGACCCUAUAAAACUUUACAUAAGUUACAUUUAGUUUGUGAAUAAAGUAAAAAAUUGUUUUAGGUAUCUUAUGUUUCGUUGGGGAGACGUUUAUAUAACUGUAACUGUCAGAUAAAUUUAAUAAUCUUAAUUAGUAUAUGAUCCUUCCAUGGGGAUUAUAAGAGUAAGUUACUUUAGGGAUAACAGCGUGAUUUUCUUUGAGAGUUCUUAUCGACAAGAAUUAGUUGCGACCUCGAUGUUGAAUUAA